GCACAAGGCACACGCCCACCCUGCGCGUGACGGGCCUGCGCGUGCACCCUGGUGUCCACCGCCAACACGAUGGAUUCUGAUGGAAACCGGCCGCCUUUCGUGCUGCUCCUCUCAAGGCUGACUCUGGAGCCGGGCACCCUUCAGAACACGGGAAACCUCAGGGCUGGCCUCCGAGGGCCAUGAGGAAACCUCUCCAAUCAGGCCUCACGCCCUCUUGUGUGGUGCAGACGGAAACGUGGGUGCCCUCACCCCAGCCCACUCCUGGAUGGCAGGGAGCCCCAUAGGAGGGGGCCUGGGAGGUAAGGCCCUGCGGGGACACACGGGACAGCCAGCUGCCUGGCCCCCAGCCACGCUCUCUACUCACGGUUUCUGGUUCUCGUAGCUCUUCAGACGGCCCACCUCGCCCACAUACACCUUGGCCACAUCUAUGUCUGUGUGGACCACAAGCUCAUACUGGCGAAUGCUGGAAAGGGGAGACCCAGGGUGAGGCCAGGGCUGGGAGGGGACCAGGGGGCUGCAGGGGGUCCCAAGGAGGGAGUGAGACUGUGAGGCAAUGGGACACGCCGUGGGGGCUGCGGGGCGUGGGAGGCAGGAGAGGGGCCAGCACAGCAUGCGGGGUGGGGCAGUCGGUCAGCAGGCCUGAGGUGCUGCCGUGAGGAGGUGAGGAAGCCUGCCCUGACCAUCACCUCCAGGCCCAGCCCAAGCGCCUGGGCCCACACCCCUCCCGCAUCCUGACUGAGCCUCCUCCAGCCGCACCACACCUACCAGGCCAGUCCCCUGGCCCAGGAGGCAGCACCCACAGCCCCGCCCACCUGCGCACACCCACCUGGACU